rnacentral:rRNA from 1 species
AUUGAACGCUGGCGGCAGGCCUAACACAUGCAAGUCGAGCGAGCGGCGGACGGGUGAGUAAUGUAUGGGGACUGCCCGAUAGAGAGGGAUAACUACGGGAAAAGGUAGCUAAAACCGCAUACUAUAGGAUAACACAUAGGGUAUUAGCUAGUAGGGGAGGAAAUGUGUAACUUAGGCGACGAACCCUAGCUGGUCUGAGAGGAUGAUACGCAACUCGGGGACUGAGAAACGGCCCAGACUCCGACGGAGGCAGCAGGGGGGAAUAUUGCACAAGUGGCGCAAGCCUGAUGCAGCCAUGCCGCGUGUAUGAAGAAGGCCCUAGGGGUGUAAAGUACUUUCAGUCGGGAGGCGUUACCGACAGAAGAAGCACCGGCUAACUCCGUGCCAGCAGCCGCGGUAAUUC